ensembl:lncRNA
UGUUCAGCAGGCCUACAGGUUGUAACAUUAUUAAUGGAAUAGAGUGUGUUCAGCAGGCCUACAGGUGUGUCUGGGUAAAAGAGUAGGCUAACUGGAAAAAGACUGUUCAAUUGUGUUGGUAACAAAUGUCAGGAUUGCUGUUGAUCUCUUUACACGUAUGGGUACAAAUCCCCUGUCUAUGCGGAUUGCGAGAUGAGUGGAAGUCACAAGACAUUUGUGUUACACAAUCUGGUCCUGAUAUAACCUGAUAUCUAUCUGUUUUGGAUAAAUGGAAAUAGGUGCUUCUGUGUAUGGCCCAUGGUAUCUCCAUACCCAUCUCCAGCAGCC